CUACGGGUUGCUCCAGUGAGGAGUAUUGCACAAUGGGGGGAACCCUGAUGCAGCAACGCCGCGUGGAGGAUGACGCAUUUCGGUGUGUAAACUCCUUUUAUAUGUCAAGAAAAUGACGGUAGCAUAUGAAUAAGCACCGGCUAACUCCGUGCCAGCAGCCGCGGUAAUACGGAGGGUGCAAGCGUUACUCGGAAUCACUGGGCGUAAAGGACGCGUAGGCGGGUUGGAAAGUCAGGUGUGAAAUCCUACAGCUUAACUGUAGAACUGCACUUGAAACUUCUAAUCUAGAGUAUGGGAGGGGGAGAUGGAAUUAGUGGUGUAGGGGUAACAUCCGUAGAUAUCACUAGGAAUACCUAAAGCGAAGGCGAUCUCCUGGAACAUUACUGACACUAAGGCGUGAAAGCGUGGGGAGCAAACAGGAUUAGAUACCCUAGUAGUC
rnacentral:rRNA from 1 species